GGUGAACGCUGGCGGCGUGCUUAAGACAUGCAAGUCGAACGGCAGUCUUCGGACUGUAGUGGCGCACGGGUGAGUAACGCGUAACUGACCUACCCCAAAGUCGCGGAUAACGAUUCGAAAGAAUCGCUAAUACGUGAUGUGCUGUCAGAUUGUGUUCUGCCAGUAAAGAUUGAUUGCUUUGGGAUGGGGUUGCGUUCCAUCAGCUAGUUGGUGGGGUAAAGGCCCACCAAGGCGACGACGGAUAGCCGGCCUGAGAGGGUGGCCGGCCACAGGGGCACUGAGACACGGGUCCCACUCCUACGGGAGGCAGCAGUUAGGAAUCUUCCACAAUGGGCGAAAGCCUGAUGGAGCGACGCCGCGUGAGGGAUGAAGGUCUUCGGAUCGUAAACCUCUGAAUCAGGGGCGAAACACACUUCGGUGGGAUGACGGUACCUGAGUAAUAGCACCGGCUAACUCCGUGCCAGCCGCCGCGGUAAAAC
rnacentral:rRNA from 1 species